rnacentral:lncRNA from 1 species
AUCUCGAAAGACGCGUUUUAAUUCUUGUUAUUUGUUUUAUGGAAAAUUUAAUGGUCAAUACAGCGAUACGAUCAUGUCUUAUUUAGACUUAAUUAGAUAGCUUGUACAAUAUAAAUUAGCUUCAAUAUUUUAAUCGUUUCUCUAAUCGAUAGAACCGUUUUUGCUUAUUUUUCAACCGUUCAAAAUGCAUUUAAUACUUUUACAUAUUUGUGUAAAAUCUGUCAUUUAUUCGGAAUUACUGACUUCGUGAAGUAUUUGCAAAAAUAUUGAAUUUUAAGUUGUUAAAAUUGUUAAAUAUGUUCUCAACUAUAAGUGACAUUAUUUAAUUUUAAAUGCUACUUUUGCAAUUUGCUGAUGGCGUGUCGUUUAGCAGAGAAGAAUCAAUAAAUUUUACAAAAAUUUGCGAGCAAAAAAUAGCAACUAAAUACACAUUAAAUACGUUUCAAAUAUGUUACGUUUAUCUGACAGUUUUUUUUAUUUUUUAUCUUGAAAAUGUUUGUUGAGAUCAGUGCACCGAUAUACUUGUUUUACAAACUAGCUCUGGCCAUUUCAGGUAUAAAACAUUGACGUGACGAUCAGAUAAAUAUUGCAUAUCGCUUUUAGGCAGAUCUGCAUACGACUCGCGCAAGGACACGUCAAUCAAUUAAAAAGCUGUUGACGAAAAAUAGAGCGCGAGAAACUAAAACAAAUCGAUGAAAGAGCUACUUUUGGUUUCACAAUUCAGUUUUGUAGAAGCUGACGAGUUCCCGAGCUCCCGAGAUAGAAAGACUGUAGUCGUGCACUUAUCGCCGAGACGCAUCAGCCAACAAUAACGGCAAGUGCAACGGAUCCAUGCGUGAAACUGUCGAUCGGGCUCAGAGGGAUUCGUCAUCAAUCAUGCGCAAAGCGAUGUUUGUAUAAGUAUACAUGGGUCAUCCCAUUCGAUAUGCCCGUGUAUACUCCCCUGUUUCUGCAUUCGCGCAUCCACGGCAUCGACGACACCCAGGUCGCCCGUUUGAUGGACGGUUCUAAUCGCUAUCGAUCAUUAUUAUACGUGCGCGUGUAAUACACGGGGGUUCCCCGCGCUAUGCUCUGUGCGAACCGUGCGUAUUUUAUAUAUAUAUAUAUAUAUAUAUAUCGACGCGUGUAGAAAACGUGAUGUGAGUGAUACUCAACGUCGCAUCCGUACGUUGAAUGAUCGAUCGAUCUGACAGGUUGAUGAUAGACAACGUCGUCGUCGAAAAGUUCUUAGCUGUCUCCAGGCUGUUGAGCAUAGACAAGACCAGAAAAAAAACAACAAAUAUAAAUAACAUUGAUGUUGAAGAGUUUUGAAGAUAUAGAAAUUUUAUUUGAAAGACAGCAACGUUAAUCAAAAAUAAAUGGCAUAUCAGAACAUUCUAUACUCAGCGCAUUAACGAGGAUUUACUACCUUCAUUGACAAAUCAUCAUGAAAUAUGGGCUUUAUUAGAAGCUUCAUGGCAUGACAAACAAUUUGUUUAGGCCACAUAUGAAACACAUAUACGAGGAGAGGUGAUGCUGUUAUCGCUUUAAUACUUCUUGGUAAGUGAUUUCCGUAAUGCACAAUUUGUUUUAUUAAUAAAUUGCUUCUGUUCAUAGAGUUUCAUGCUAAAAAAAGCUCAUAUAAUUAGUUCGAAUAAAUGAUAUAACUACUGGUAUCAUUUACUCGUAACAAUUUUUGUAAAUUACACGACUUAACGGAUUGUUAUUAUAGAUAUUGAUAUUAGCUAUAUUUUCAUUGUGGAAGUAUUUAUAUUAUUUUUAUAUUAUUUGCAAAGUUCACCACUACGUAAACCGAUUGCUCUCCAUCAACUUUACUGUAACAAAAAGUACAUAUUUUGAAAGUGUUGAAAAUUUGUCUGGGAAAAUUAUGUGCGUCCAUGGUUUUAAAUAUUUUAAUUAUUUAUUUUUUUUACCGUGCUUUUUCCAAUGGCACGACCUUAUUGAGCAACUUUUGUAAUAUUUAUUAUAUGUAAUUAACGUAUUCUCGUAUAUGUCUGGAGUUUAUGGCUCGUAAAUUCCAGUUAAAAAAAUUAUAAUAUGACAAUCCUAUUUACGGAUAAUCCAAUGCGCUUUGCGCGCGUUUUUUGAACGCUCUCUUUCGGGGAUUAACGAUUAUACUGAGGCGAUCGGGGAUGUUUGCUUUUGACAGACCAGGAUAUUCGUAAUCGCGAAAUACCUAAAUAACACGACUUUGUAACGUGUGUGAAGUUAGCAUCUCAAAGUUUAGCAUCUCAUAAAAAUACUGCAGAAUUACUUGCAUCCAGCAUAGUUCUACAGUUCUUGAUAGGUUUCAACAAUAGU